rnacentral:lncRNA from 1 species
AAUGCCAUGUAUUUGUGUAGCACUUUAGAGUUUAUGAAGCACUUUAGCAGGAACUACCUUAUUUUAUUAUUUUUGUACCAAACCAAUGAAGUAAGAGGAAAUUAUUAUCCCUAUUUUGUAGAUGAUCAUAUAAUUGGAAAUUUAUGAAGCCAGGAAACCUCGCUCCUGGUCCAGAGCUCUUUCCUCUAUGGGCUUCCUAAGUCCUCUGCUAAAAAGAGAAAUCUAGAGACGAAGAUGUAACUUCUUAUGGUGAUAGCUGAGAGCCAAGUCCCCGAAGAAUGUUAGGACAGUGACUUCAUAAUGUCAGGGGUUCUGGGAGGGGAGAGAGUACACUAAGGCAUGUUCUUCAACCUUAGCACACUGACAUUCUGCCUGGAUAAGUUUUUGUUGUAAGGGCUGUCCUGUGAAGUGUAGGAUACUUAGCAGCAUUUUUGGCCUUUACCCAUUAGAUGCCAAUAAGACCCUCUCAGUUGAGACAACAGAAAAUGUCUCCAGACAUUACCAAAUGUUCCUUGGGCGGAGGGGUGGUAUCACCCCAGUUGGGACCCAGUGCUCCAGAAAAGAGAGAAAAAAUAAACACCUGUUUUAGUUUUCAUCACAGCCAAAUCUAAGUAGAAGUCAUAGUCUCUGAACCAAAGCAGUUAACUAUUUUUCACGGAUAUAGGUACAAUUCUGCUUCUUUGAAACAGUUUAGUUGGUGCUGAAAGCUGGGAAUACAGUGGGGAUGGUGAGACAUUUGUGCCCCAGGAGAAGAUAUGGCUGUUCUCGUAGGGAGAAAUUUUCUGCUAGUAUUCCAGGGCAUAAGCCAAGUAAGACUAUUCAUUGAAACAUAAAGAGGGAGAGGAGGGGAAUGGUCCAGCUGAAAUAUUUCCAGGGUGUAACUAACGACACAUUUUUCUCUUUUGUAGUAUGCUAUAUAAUAACCACGGGUGGCACUGCUGUUUCUGAUUCUAAAACACCUUGGAAACUUUCUUGACAUCUGCAGCACUCUGCUACUCAAAAGGGUGCAUUGGGGGAGCAUACAAGGUGAUGAGUCUGGAGACCUAAGAUUUCACGCUUUUUCAGGCAUUAGUCACUAUGGUGUAACCUUAGGCAAGGUACUUCACGUCCCUGGAUCUACGUUUCUAUAUCUGAAAAUGAGAUUAACCUCAAUAUCUCCAAGCUUUAAAAUUGUAUGGUUUCCCUACUCUUACAACCACAACUAAAUCACUAUUAUUACUGCCAGCAAGUAGGAAUGUAUGAUUAUACUGCCAUGCACAUCACCAGAAGUAAUAUGGUAAUAUUGGUGGUAUCAUUCUUGUAAAGUUAAAAAAAAUGUUCUAAUGAAGCAGAUUAAGGCUACUUACAAUAUAUGCAUCCUUGGGCUCAGGAGGACUAGGGAGGAAAUGAUCUACUUGGAUAUGAGAAAUGAAGUAGCCAGGGCAUUGAAAUCCAUAACUCACCAUGGUUAAUGAAUCUUCCUCUCCCUAACCCAACACCCCAGGCAAAAGAUAGGCAUUGGUACCUAUUAAAUAAGAGCUAGGAGAAAAGGAAUUACAGUCAAAACCCUCUUAAGACAUUUUCAAAGGAGCAGCCAUUAAAACUUCUAAACCAGGAAAUCAUCCUUGGAGAGAAAUGGAAAAUCACAGCCUAAAGCCCCAUCAGUCACUGCAUCCAUCUUCACAUCCAGGACCUCCAGGUGAUGCUCAGACAUCCAGUCAGGAUGUGGUGAUCGAAGAACAAUAAAGGCAAAUUAUCUACACCCCAUCUCCACUUAAUAGAACAUGGAGGAGCAAGGACAAGUUAAUUGGAAUAUACUUUCUGUCAUAGUCUGGCUCCCCAGGAAGCAGACUUUGAGACAGAAUUUACCAUGCAGGAGGUUUGUCAGGAAGGGCCCUUCCUGUGGAAGUAAAGGGAAGAAAGCAGUCUCAACACAGUCCUCAGCCAACGCCAUGAUGAAGCUGGGGAGCCUUUCAGAAUUGCCCCAAGGUAGGGCGAGGAGGCUGGACCUUUAUACCUGAGGUUGACCCGUUAUUGAAUUUGGAUACUCUGGAAAGGGGCAUGACCUUGGACAAAGUGUGAAGCAACUCUCUUGGGCUGAGACAGUUAUUAAAAAGUAUUGUCUGAAGGCUGCAUUCAGCAUUCCCAAGAGCUGGGGAAUUAAAUUCUUCAGUCCUGUAGUGGAAUCCAGAAGGUGCAUCACAGUGACUGCUACAAAUUGCUGUUUAGGAAAGGGUGUGACACCACAGUAAUUGGUCUGUAACAGCACUGGGAAUUCUGGAAGUUUCUUUUCCCUAUAGGAGGAGAAGUUAUUCGAUGAGGUCUCUUGGAGGAACUUCUUUCCAUUUUUCUCCAUGGUUCUGCCCUUUGGGGAAGUUUUCCUUGUUUAUUAUCUUCUAUGUGUGUAUCUGAAGUGGGUGGUGUGGAGACUUCCCUCCUUGGGGCUGUGUACGUUUUGAAGACAUCUUCCUGUUCCUAAAAUGUUGGGGGGACCAGAGGGGUUAUUUUAAAUCUUGAGCGGUCAGGUACUUUUAAAAUCUAGGCGAACAGUUUCUUUGACAAUGCAGUUCCUUAAAAAUUUAAUAAACCUCUGAUCUAUUUGUUUCCAAUCGGU